rnacentral:rRNA from 1 species
GGGGCAACCUUGAUCCAGCCAUNCCGCGUGAGUGAAGAAGGCCUUCGGGUUGUAAAGCUCUUUCGNCGGGAAGAAAUGGCAACGGCUAAUAUCCGUUGUUGAUGACGGUACCCGCAUAAGAAGCACCGGCUAACUACGUGCCAGCAGCCGCGGUAAUACGUAGGGUGCGAGCGUUAAUCGGAAUUACUGGGCGUAAAGCGUGCGCAGGCGGUUUCGUAAGACAGACGUGAAAUCCCCGGGCUCAACCUGGGAACUGCGUUUGUGACUGNGAGGCUAGAGUACGGCAGAGGGGGGUAGAAUUNCACGUGUAGCAGUGAAAUGCGUAGAGAUGUGGAGGAAUACCGAUGGCGAAGGCAGCCCCCUGGGUUAGUACUGACGCUCAUGCACGAAAGCGUGGGGAGCAAACAGGAUUAGAUACCCUGGUAGUCCACGCCCU